CUGAUGCGGGACGGAAGC
rnacentral:snRNA from 1 species